CCUACGGGUGGCAGCAGUGGGGAAUAUUGCACAAUGGGGGAAACCCUGAUGCAGCGACGCCGCGUGAGUGAAGAAGUAUUUCGGUAUGUAAAGCUCUAUCAGCAGGGAAGAAAAUAACGGUUCCUGAGUAAGAAACCCCGGCCAACUACGGGACAGCAGCCGCGGUAAUACGGAGGGGGCAAGCGGUAACCGGAUUUACUGGGUGGAAAGGGAGCGUAGACGGGAGUGCAAGUCUGGAGUGAAAGGCAGGGGCUCAACCCUCGGACUGCUUUGGAAACUGUGGGGCUGGAGUGCAGGAGAGGUAAGUGGAAUUCCUAGUGUAGCGGUGAAAUGCGUAGAUAUUAGGAGGAACACCAGUGGCGAAGGCGGCUUACUGGACUGUAACUGACGUUGAGGCUCGAAAGCGUGGGGAGCAAACAGGAUUAGAUACCCUAGUAGUC
rnacentral:rRNA from 1 species